AACGAACGCUGGCGGCAGGCUUAACACAUGCAAGUCGAACGCAUCCUUCGGGGUGAGUGGCAGACGGGUGAGUAACGCGUGGGAACGUGCCCUUCAGUUCGGGAUAACCCAGGGAAACUUGGGCUAAGACCGGAUACGUGCGAGAGCAGAAAGAUUUAUCGCUGAAGGAUCGGCCCGCGUCUGAUUAGCUAGUUGGUGGGGUAAUGGCCCCCCAAGGCGACGAUCAGUAGCUGGUCUGAGAGGAUGAUCAGCCACAUUGGGACUGAGACACGGCCCAAACUCCUACGGGAUGCAGCAGUGGGGAAUAUUGGACAAUGGGCGCAAGCCUGAUCCAGCCAUGCCGCGUGAGUGAUGAAGGCCUUAGGGUUGUAAAGCUCUUUCGUCCGGGACGAUAAUGACGGUACCGGAAGAAGAAGCCCCGGCUAACUUCGUGCCAGCAGCCGCCGUAA
rnacentral:rRNA from 1 species